rnacentral:lncRNA from 13 species
UUGCACUGCUCUGAUGACUGAGUUAAGUCCAUUUGUCUCUUAUCUAAGUAACUCAGUUUUUCUCUGUGUGUCCUCAAUUGAAAAUGUUUCCCAGGCCCUCUCAGAGCUUCCCACAAGUAUCAGUUGGUCUUUUUGCCUUAUGUCAUCAUGAUGGCAAUCAGAUGUAAUCAGAGGCAAACAAAUUCUUUCCGCCAGUGAUUGGCUUACGUGGGGAGUGGUAUGAGCGUGCUGAUGCCGGAAUUUCAGACUGAAGCUGCAUCAGCACAAUUUGCUACCAUGGUGUUUGUUUUCUUUUUAAUUGCCAUAAAUAAUUACAUAAUAAUAUUUUCAACUGCCAUAUUUGGGGCUCUGUACUCAAGAGGGAAAACCAUUUCUCUAUUAAGGUGUUUGCUGCUGUAAGGGCCUUUGAAACUCACCAUUAUUCAUCUUUCCCACAGAAAGAAGAUAGAUGUGGUGCAUGAAUUAUCUGUGUUCGUGUCCAAGGCUGUGGUUAUGAAUGUGUGUGUAAUUGUGUGAGGAGAGUCAGACCUAUGCUGUGGAAAAGUUGGCUCAAAAGUACAGUUUGGAGGCCAGGCAUGGCAGCUCACACCUAUAAUCUCAGCACUUUGGGAGGCCGAGGCAUCCAGGUUUGCUACAAAAUGAACUCCAUUUGGCAAGGUCAGUCUGAUGCAUUAAGACGGGGGAAAUGUGCGUCCCCAUCUCUUAUCCCCAGCAAUGCAUAUACCUCAGGAACGGUAUGUAGAGAAGAACAGGGCUGCUGUGAUUGUUGAAGAACAACUCAUUGGUAGCAGCUCCACUGUUUAUUGGCAGAAGGGAGGAUUGUGUCCAGGGCCAUGGUAUGCAGUGGUGCAGUUCAUGCAGUGCAGAGAAAGGCCCAGCAGAGCCAGCGAAUGGGCCUGAAAUGCAAGCUCUGUGUCCUGACCUGGAGAUGGGUCUUUCCAGAAGGGCCAGCAGGAGAUGCCUUGCGAGCUCCCUGAGUUCCCACAGGGCUAUGGUUGGCUCUGAAAGGGCCAGACCCAGGGUGUAGGUUAGGAUAGGGAUGGGCUGUUGCUGGUCUGUCCUCAACCCAGACACUCUAUUCUCUGAUGGGCCCUGUAGAAAUUUUAUGCUUUGAAAGCUGCUAAAAAUUGCAGAUGAGUGUCUUCAGAUGCUGGGAGAAACGGGGGAGGAUUCUGCCCUCUCAAGAGACAUUUGGCAAUGUCUGGAGGCAUUUUUUAUGUCUAGACUGCAGACUGCUAUAGACGUCCCUGGCCUCUUGCUGCUCAGCGUCUUACAAUGCAUAGGACAUUCUCCCACAAUGGAACGAUCUAAACUGAAAUAUCAGUAGUUGAGAAACCUUGAGCCACAUAAAGGUAAGAAGAAUGAGUUUUCUUCAUUGGCGGAUGUGUGGAUAACACUGUGGGUGUUAUGUUCAUCUUGCAUUUGUAAAACAGCUGGCCGGGCGCGGUGGCUCAUGUCUAUAAUCCCAGCACUUUGGGAGGCCAAGGUGGGUGGAUCACAAGAUCAAGAGAUCGAGACCAUCCUGGUCAACAUGGUGAAACUCCGUCUCUACUAAAAAUACAAAAAAUUAGCUGGGCAUGGUGGUGCGUGCCUGUAAUCCUAGCUACUCAGGAGGCUGAGGCAGGAGAAUUGCUUGAACCCAGGAGGCAGAGGUUGCGGUGAGCUGAGAUCGCGCCAUUGCACUCCAGCCUGGGUAACAAGAGUAAAACUCAAAAAAAAAAGAAAGAAAACAGCUACAUAUUUUUUAUACUUUAGUAAAAGACUUGCCCUCAUAGCUUAUAACCUUUGCUCCAGCUGUAUAUUUUAGAUUUUCCCUUGAAGUAAAGCCUCCCCCUCCACCCUCAUCCCCUUCCCAACUUCUCCCCUCUACCACCAUUGCUCUGGGAGGACAAGAUGCUCAGAAGAAAUGUUUACAUAUGUUUGUGUGACUUUCCAUGUAUGUGUCUGUGUGUGUGUGUGAGAGAGAGAAAAAGAAAUAGAGACAGAAACAGAAAAAAAUGCUCAAAGAUGCAGAAAGAGGUAUGCAGAAAAGGGAGGGGGGCAGAGUGGACAAACAGAAAGGAAGAGAAAUAAAACCCACAAAGAACUGACA